CGUGUAGGCGGCCGGCCAAGUCGGAUGUGAAAGCCCUCGGCUUAACCGAGGAAGUGCGUUCGAUACUAGCUGGCUUGAGUACCGGAGAGGGUGGUGGAAUUCCCGGUGUAGAGGUGAAAUUCGUAGAUAUCGGGAGGAACACCAGCGGCGAAGGCGACCACCUGGACGGAUACUGACGCUGAGACGCGAAAGCGUGGGGAGCAAACA
rnacentral:rRNA from 1 species